GAUGAAGAACGUAGCGAAAUGCGAUAAGUAAUGUGAAUUGCAGAAUUCAGUGAAUCAUCGAAUCUUUGAACGCGCAUUGCGUCCCUUGGUAUUCCGAGGGGCAUGCCUGUUCGAGCGUCAUUAUAACCCCUCAAGCUCAGCUUGGUGUUGGGGCCUGCUGCACUGGCAGCCCUUAAAAUCAGUGGCGGCGCCAUCUGGCUCUAAGCGUAGUAAUUCUUCUCGCUAUGGAGUCCUGGUGGAUGCUUGCCAUCAACCCCCAAUUUUUCUAUGGUUGACCUCGGAUCAGGUAGGGAUACCCGCUGAACUUAAGCAUAUCAAUAAGCGGAGGA
rnacentral:misc_RNA from 1 species